GGUUAGGGUUUGUCGACAUUUUGAUUGGUUCUCAAUGGUGUUUUUGUGUUGCAGAAACAGAGAAAGAGAAAGAGGAAGAAGAAGAGGGAGAGAGAGGAGAUGGUGUGGUGAAGUGUCACUCUCUCUUUCUCUCCUUAUCUUUGGGCUCUUUGUGAUUUAAGAUAUGUAACUUUUAAUUAAUACUAGAUGAGUACCCGCACUACGUGCGGGUUUACGUAUUACUAUUUACAAAUUAUUUUAUAUAAUAUCUGUUCAUAUAAAGUAAAGUUGAAUGCAUCAGUAUUGAAACAUAAAUAUGAUUU
rnacentral:sRNA from 1 species